GGAAGCGUCGCGGGGUUGACAAAGGAGGAGCUGUUAGAAUUUUGGUAUGGUCUAGUGAAUAGUGAGCAAAAGUUCUUGUGGGUGAUGAGGCCAGACUUGAUAAUAGGACGAGAGAAAAAAGAUGAGAUUCCUGUGGAGUUGGAGCAGGGUACAAAGGCAAGGGGCUACAUGGCUGAUUGGGUUCCACAAGAAAAGGUAUUGGCACAUAGAGCAAUUGGCGGUUUCUUGACUCACUCUGGAUGGAAUUCCACAUUGGAGAGUAUAGUUGAAGGAGUGCCGAUGAUUUGUUGGCCGAGAUUUGCUGAUCAGCAAGUGAAUAGUAGAUUCGUUGGUGAGGUUUGGAAGAUGGGACUUGACAUAAAAGAUACAUGUGAUAGAGACAUCAUUGCAAAAUCAAUUAGAGAUUUGAUGGAGAAGAGAAAUGGUGAAUUCUCUCAAAGAACAGAGCACAUGGCCAGUUUGGCAAAAAAAGCUGUCAAUGAAGGUGGAUCGUCAUACAUUAAUCUGGACCGUCUUAUACAGGACAUAAGAUCUAUGAUUCCGCCGCAAAAAACAUACCUGAUUCAGCUGAAACUUGAUUUUUUUUUAGCUGCGAUUAUAUUGUUGCCUAGAAAUUGUAGAUUUAUUCUGCCUAUUAAUCUGAAUAACUCUAGCAACAAAUGUAGCUUCACUUUUACAACUGCAGUCAUUUACAAGUACAUCUCCAGCAAUAAAUAAACCAAACUUUUACGAAUGGGGAGUAAUAGAUAAGAAACUCUAAAUUUUUAUUGUUAUUGGAAUUAUGACCUCCUUAAUUCAGUAAAGGAACACAUACUAACUAAAGUUCUUUAACGUUUGAUAAUUGCGGUAAACAAUUUUGUAAAUACUCCCUCCGUUUCACAAAAAAUGACCUCCUUUCCUUUUAGUCAGUUUCAAAAAAUGACCUCUUUCCUUUUUUGGUAACAUUUUACUUUUUGCUUUCCACGUGGCAUGUUUAAGACCACAAGAUUAAGGGCAAUUUUGUACAUUUGACAUAACUUUAAUUUAGGACCACAAGAUUCAAAAGUCUUAUUUAAUUUCUUAAACUUCGUGCCAAGUCAAACCAGAUCAAUCUUUUUGAAACGGAGGGAGUAAUAAUCAGUUCACAACUUCGUAUUAUUUAUCACAACUUCAAACUACACAACGAUUACACACCUAUGUAAUCUAAGGAAUUCUAAACUCUAAUCCCUUUUUACCCAAGACAAAAGACCCCAGGUUUAAGCCUUCUAAAAGUCUUCCAAGUUGCUCCAACUUGUUAGACUCGUCCUACACUCAACACUCAAUUGCAGUCAAUUACUAUUAACUACAAUCUUACAAUUUUUCUCACAAACUCGUAGCACUCCCAAGUAAAAUACAAAACUCUCUCAAAAACUCUUCGAUAGUGUUUUGAUUAUCUCUCUAUGUAAGUGCGCAAAAUUCUUAGAAGAAAAUCACGCCCUAUUUAUAGACUUGAAUUUCUCAAAACCUUCUUCAACUCAACUUUAUUUACACGGUUUAAACUAUGCUUCCUACUAUGUUUUGGAAUCCUUGAGACUUCGCGUGGACUCCUACUUGAUUGCGAAUUUGUACUCGUUAAAAUUUUCCCCAUUCCAGUCAUAUUAGAUGAAGUUGAAUCACGAUCACACAACUUGUUCUAUAACUUUGUCAGUCUUCAAAACACUAAAUUAUUUGCAACUAACAAAUUCCCCCUUUUUGACGAUGAAAUUUUUAUAUCUCUGUAUUGAACCUGCACUGCAUUGCAUUGAACACUUGAACACACGCACACACAAUCAAUCAUACAUCUUCCCCUUUUGACAUCAGACAAAAACUUAAAAGAAGGAUCUACACAGCCAUGUCAAGCAAUAAUAACACACUAAACCAUAACAAAAAAAAAUACCAAACUUAGUCAUUAGUUACAAAAGAGAUCAAUCAACAAAAACCAUCAUCCACAAAAAGUCAGAAAUGCACACUAAAGAAAAAGGACCCAAAACACACGACAAUGCACAAGUAGGCUGGAAUUAGGCAGGAGGUGGCAUAAAAGAGGAUGAGGAAGGAGAGACUUUGGUUAACAAAUCAAAGAUGUGCUUCAGAUGAGCAGAAUUAGAAGACCUUUCAGUAUCCAAUUCUGCUUGAGUCUUAGCAAGCUCUUCUUUAAGCCUAGAGUUUUCUUCUACCAACCCAACAUUCUCAAGCCGUAACUAAUGUGCAAUUGAUCCAUUGUAGCUGAGUGAGAGACCUUAAGACCAGCAAUUUCCGCACCCAUUGUAGUCAACGAGGCCCUCAGACGUUGCAUAGGUGCAUUUUUCCCUCUAGAGGUAGCAGGUAUAGCAACAUGAUCUACUUCCCCCAAAACAUCUUUGGUAGUCUGCACUUGUCACUCUUUGACUGGAACUUGAAAAUACUCAAAGAUUUCUCCUAGCUAGAAUCCAUACCCAAGCCCAUGGUCCUUUUAUCAUGCACACAAAUCCUAUGAAUGUGAUUAAGAAUUAAUUGUGGCUGAUUAAUUUGAACUUGAGAUAUCAAUAAUUCCAUGAGCGUGAGAUCCAAAUAGUUCGCCUCCAUACGCUUUCGCUUCCUAGGGAGAAUGAUUUUGUGCACUACAUCAAAAAACAACUUAUGUAAAGGAAACAUGACUCAUUUAUCCACCCUAGAGUAAUUCUCUAGCAUAAGAUCAUUCGCAAACCGAUGAGAUAUCUCAAGGGCUGAUGAAAGACCCUCUAAGCGAAACCAGUCUCGUUUGACAUAAUGACACCAACCUUUGUUCGGUACACCCAAUAUUUUUGACAGAACCUCAGCUAUUUAUGUGAACGAUGUACCACCAACCUUACUCGAAAUAGAAGAGACAGACCCAACCACAUUGAUAAAUAAUUCCCUGGUUUCAUUCCUACCCAUCUUACACCUUCGAUUACCCUGGAAAAAAAAUGCAGUCCAACCCUAUGCUUGUAACAUUAUAAGAAAUUCACCCAUUUCAUUUCCCCCAAAAUCUGUAAUAACCCGACCCCGAAUCACACUUCUUUCCUAAAUGACCGUACCCUAGCCUUCGUUUUUCAGAGUAAACUUCAAUAUCACAAUCAGAAUUUUCGUUGUGACCAGAUUCCCUUACUGAGUUUGUCACGACCCAAUGGUACCCCCUAGAUGUAACAAGGCAUACUCAACCCCGAAGGGGUCUCAUACAAGUCCCUUAGCAUAUUAUAACAUAAAUCAAUAGAAAUGAUGCGGAAAUUUUAAAACAUUUUCCAUACAAUCGAAGUCUUUAUAAAAGCAAGCGGAAGUCUUUAACACUUUGUCUCAAACCGUCUAAAAUAACUUGAAUAAAUCUUUGGGACGCAGCCUAUACAUAAGUUCUAACAUAAAAGAAAGACAAUAGAACAUGGUGGCUAUCUCCUAGAACUAUAAGGACUCACCAAGGCUUCAAUCCUUGCUCCUACUAAGAACCUAGCCUUGAGGAUGAAACUCAAUAUCGCCGGACCCUACAUUUGAUAAGAAUGUAGGCAAGAGUAUGCGAUAGUACAAAAUGUACUAAAUAUGGUAGCUAACAUAACAUCAUAAGAGCAUAACAUAAGGGUUAGUCAAUAAGAGACAUAUACCAUAAUCAUAAGAGAUACAUCAUAAGACAUAAACUAUAGGCAUAAGAGAUAACAACAUAAUCAUAAGCAUAAUCUCCAACAUAGACAUAAUGUAAGCAUUAGUCAUCAUAAGGCAUAAUCCAUGAGCAUAGUCAAUACUUAGAUCUUCAUAACAUAAGAGAACCACUUAAUAAGUAACCUCAAGGCAUACUUGUGCAAUGCAUGGAUAAGACCCCAUAAUCUCACCCAUGCUAAGUACCCCCUUUUGGUCAUCAUACAUUGAUCAUCUCUUCAAUCUCAUAUUUAGCUCAUCAUUCAUAGAUAAGGGAAUCUUCACCUUUAGUCAAACAUAUCAUGGAAGACAACUAUAGAAAAAAUCCAAUCUAACAUACAUCAUAUAAGAGAGACACUUCCUAGGUAACCUCCAGUCAUACUUGUGCAAUGCAUGGAUAAGACCCCAUAAUCCCACCCAUACUAAGUACUACUUUAGGCCAUCAUAAUCAUACUUUUUGGUUGGGGACUAGUCCUUUGCAAGCUAUUUUCAUCAUUCAUGGAAAGGUACCACUUUAGUACUCCACAACAAUUCAUUACACAUGAGUGGUUAUAGUUUACCAAUUCAAAGCUACCAAGGAAAAGGACUACCUUAUGCUAGACCAAGCUACCAUGGAAAGCAUACGAUCAUGCAAGCACAAGCUACACAAUGAAUGGUACGAUUUCUCAAUCCAAGCUACCAAUGAUAUGGUGUGGCCUAACCAAGUCAUGCUACCAUGAAAAGCAUUCUAUUGUGUUUAGUUCAAGCUAACCAUUGGAAGGGUACUAUUGCUCAAUCCAAGGCUACCAUGAGAACUCCUAACUCCAGCUACCAAGCAUGGUCUUGUCUUACCAAGUCAAGCUAUUCAUGAAGGGAUCUUAUAUCACAACUUCAAGCUAUUCUAGUCUAACAUACUUGAUUCAUUUUAGGUGAGCAAACUUUCAACCUAGAAUCAUUCUAUGUGAGGAAACCUUUCACAUCACGUUCAUUAUGUGUUCAUGAGAAUAAUCCUUCAAGCAACAUAACAUUUAUAUCAAUUAAGAUAAUUCUAUAGAUAUGGAGAUUUUUACUAGAAAACCGGACUCAACUAGUGUAGAAGUUCUCCAUCUCUGAGAUACAUAAAUGGAACCUGGACUCAACGAGUGUAGAAGGAUCCCAUUUGGAAACCGGACUCAACUAGGGUAGAAGCUUCCAUCCCAUAUUCAAUAUCAUAUUCAUGCAUAAGUGUGUAUGUGAGAACAUCCUUUCAACAACACACAAGUACAAAAUCAUAAUCAUAGACACUUCACUCUCAAAGUGUUCAUAAAGCAUUUACAUUGAUUCUAUAAGAACAUGCAUAAUCUCAUAUACUCAUAAUAUAAGUCAUGUGGGUAAAGUCCUUCCAUAAUAAUGCCAUAUACAAUUCAACAUACAUAUUAGCUUCACUCUCAAAGCCCUAGAAAUCAACCUUCAUAACUACAAGCCUUACUCUCAAGCAAUACUUCUCAUGAUCAUUCUAUAUGUCUAAUUCUCAAGACAUUCUAACCACAUGCUUCAUUCUUUAGUAAUUCUAAUCAUAUAUCUUCAUAUAAGCAUAAAAUCAAGCAUUACUAAUCAUGAUUCAUCAUAUUAGCCUUAAUAUAAUCAAUUCAUGUCUAUAAGCUUUACUCUUAAGCAAUUCAUGUCAAGAUGUUCUAAUCUCAAGCAAUCUAUAAUGUAAUUCAUCAAUCUUAGACGAUCACAUCUAAGCCAUAAAUUUUCCCUUUCAUGGUAUAAAGUUCAACUAUAUCAAAUCACCUUAAAUCUUAGGUUAAUCAAGAAUACAUGUAUAAUCAUACUAAAAACAUGCAAUUCCAUCAUAAACAAACAUAAACAAUCGUAAUCCACUCUAUUGGAUCAUAAUCAACAUAAACCAUAAUAUUGGAAGGAACCCUAACUUGAAUUAGGGAUUUUAUCUUCACAAUUAGCGGAAUUCUAGGGGACUCCAUGGAUGAAUAACUACCAUACCUUUAUUAAAAAGACCUCAAAUCUUGGAACAAUGGAGACUUGACUUGACCUAACUUGAUCCUCCUUCUCUUCUUCUUCUUUUUCUUCUUCUUCACUUUCUAGAAAGAGAAUAUUUGAGAGGGAAUUGGGUUCUUUUUGGUAAGUUGAAAUAAUGACUAGGAUCAAUGAAUUGAGGGGUCUAAAGUCUUUAUAUAGGUGGUCUAAACUAGGGUAAAAUGACACCAGUCACUGCCUUACCCACGAGACCCCGACCAUGGGGCAUGGGUCUAACCAUAGUCCGUCUUGAUUGGGCGUGGUUUGGGGUCUGUGGCACUGUCUUGGGGGCUCUUGACCUACGAAGAUAACCACGUGGUGUGGACCCAUCCACGAGGCAUAGGUCCUGCCCGUGGUUACUACCUCAGGUAGAUUUCAUGGAGGGCUCACCCACACUGCCCACCUAAGGGGCGUGGGUUUCCUCGGGGGUGGCACAUAAACUCCCAAGUCAUGCUAACUUCCCACUCAAGGCUACGGGUGUUAUAAUAUCUCCCUCUUUGGACCAUUCGUCCCCGAAUGACAUUUUAGGCACUUCUUAAGGUCACGACUCUAGACUAGCAACCCAUUAUGCAUGCAACUCAUCUAAAUGCACACAACUAAAGAAGGAAUUUCAUCUCCAAGCUAAACACACUCAAUGCAACACAAAAGAGGUAGGAACUACAUCUAACAACCCAAAAUGCAUGAAAUUAUCAUGACUAGUCAUGUUCAAAGAGGAACUACCAUCUCCAAGCUAUAAGCAUGAUCAACACAAUCUCAUAGAGCCUAUAUGCAAUCUAUACUCAUAACGUACAUUCAAGGAGGAACUCUCAAUUCCUAGCUAAAACAUGUUCGUCAAUUCGUCUCAUGAAGUCUAUAUGCAACUCAUACUAGCAUUACAACAUGAGAAAAAUCAAUAAUGCAAAUUCAUUUUCAUUCUAAACAUAAAUUUUCAUGAACAUGCAUAACAUAAGGAAAUCAUGGAAACACAUAAACAUACAUGACUCCAAACAUAAUACAAACCAAGAGAAACUUAUCAUCUCAAGAGUUCAUACAGACCUACAAAACGGGGACUAAACUUCCCAACUCAUUUCACCUUUCUAGGGUGAGAAAUUCAACUAAACCCAACUCAUAAACAUUAGGAACACUCAACGACUUUUAUAACCAAGCACAUCAUCUCCCCCUUGGGAGCAAGCCUAAACGGACUUUCUAAGCACCAUUUAUUUCAAUUCAACUAAGGUCGGAUUAAGUUUUCACUAAGCUUUCACAUUCAUCACCCAAGAUGACCCUAAACCAUGGUGAUCUAUACUACUACCCUUCAUAGGAGUCUACUCAAUUACCACACCUAGGUAUUACCUAAACACUCUAUUAAGUCUUACUAAUAUACUCAAAACUCAAAAUGGCCAAGUAGGGUUCUACUAUCAAUAACACAUAACAAUAAUGUAGCCCAUUCAUACUAAAUACAACAUCAAAGUCUAGCAUAUCAAGUCACAAAAGACAAGUAAUACCGAAAUCUAAUAAAGCAUAAAACAACCACUAUGAGGAUCUUGGUUACCCUCUCUUCUCAUAGACUUUGCCUUUGGACAUUCCCUCAUUUUGUGACCACUUUCACCACAAUUAAAGCAAUCCUCUUUGCCAGCCAAACAUCUACCCUUAUGUCUCUUUCCACACCUAGCACAAGUGGGCCAUAGGGAUUCCCUACUAAUUCCUUGCGGUUUAGGGUUAGACACCCUAUCUUCAUUAUACUUAGGAGCCUUAGAGGAAUCUUGCCCGGAAAACCUUUGUCAAUUCCUAUGAUGACCAUGUCCAACAGACCUUACAUGGGAGGAGUUAUCAUCCUCCAUUCUAGACCUCUUUUUCUCCAUAGAUCUCCCUUUUUAUUUCUCCUCUUCAAUGUAAUAGCAAUAAGUCAUAAGGCGAGCAAUAUCCAUGUCACUAAUGAGUAGGGUUGUUCAUGGUUAUGGUUAAAAAACCAAACCUAACUCCAAUCCGAACCAAACCAAUUAAAAAAAUCAAUAUUUGGUUUGAUUUGGUUAGGUUUGGUUUUAAAAUUUUGAAAACUAAUACUAUUUGGUUUGGUUUGGUUUUGGUUUUACUAAAAAACAACUGCAAAAAUAACCAAACCGAAUCAAUAAAUUAGAUAUAUAAAUUUAUAAUUAUUUAUAUAUUAUUCAUAAAUAAAAUAUAACUAUUUGUUAAAUUUUAAGUAACUUAAGUCUUUAACUCUACCAUUUUCUCAAGCCCAACACCUAAAUUUUAGCCCAACAAUUACAACCCUAAGUCCAAGUCCAUCGAAAUUUAUUACCUAUCAUACCUUUCAUAAGAUAGUCACACUUUCUCUUAAUUGAAUAACUUUGUUCAUGAAAUGAUAACUCUAAUAUUGCUUAAUUGAACCAACAAUAACUUUUUUGUGAAUUGUUCAUGUACUAGGUGUUUUUUCUAUAAAGAUACGAAUGUUCUCAAAAAUUUAUUACUUUCAAACCAAAAAAAUUAGAAAAACUGAAACAAACCGAACCAAACCGUCAAUAACCAAACCGAUGGUUAUUUUUUUCGUUUGGUUUGGUUUUAGAAAUUUUAAAAACCAACUAGAUUGGUUUGGUUUUGGUUUUAAUCAAUAACCGAUCCAAACCGAACCACAAACACCCCUACCAAUGAGCAUAGCUGUACAACAUUCUUUCACCACUAAAUCGGAUACACCUGACAUAAACUUGUUCAUUAUUGUCCUAGGGUCGAACAGUAGAGAUGGAGCACACUUAGACAAUUGGGUGAACUUAAGGGCAUACUCCUUCACAUUUAUUCUUCCUUGACGAAAGUUAAGGAACUCAUGCACCUUGGCUUCCCUCAUCUCAAGGGGGAAGAAUCUAUCUAGAAACGCCAAUUUAAACACUUCCUACUCUAUGGGACUCGCUCCUACCGGCGUAGUCUCUUUCCAUUGAUUGUACCACUGUCACGCCCCAAGCCUGCACCCUGGACGUGGCCGGUACUCGAGAACUAUUGCUGGCUCCAAGCGAACCCUUGGCCUGGCUUACUUUCUCAGCGGAUGACUUUACUCAAGAUAAAUAUACUUUAAAAGAAUAAUUGAACUGCUCAAUAAAUAACUUAGAAUGUAAUAAAUAACAUUCACUGCCAAAGUGUCAACUCAAGUCUCAACUUAACUAAAAAGGAAUAAGACUCAUGAACUAACAUCAACUAACUCUGUCUAUGAAGCCUCUAAACAAUUGAGAUGGACGUCGGGACAAGACCCACAACAUCCUAAUGAACUAAAUACUAAAAGAAAGAAAAAGGAUCCUCUGAAAAGCUAGGAGGCUCACCAACUGACUCUGAGUGCUCAACUGGAUCAGCGAGGCGUUGGAUGCUGAUCCUGAUUACAUGUGUCUGCAUCAUAAGACAAUGUAGGCCAACUGGCAUUAGUACAUUGAAUGUACGAGUAUGCGAGGGGAAAUCUAAAACAAGACAUAAGCUUGAAAGGAACUGAAGGAACAUACCCGGGCUCAACUCAACUCAACUUAACUCAUUUCAAUAUAAAGAAAUAAUAUAAAUGCAAUAUAAAGAAAAGCUUUUAAAACAUGGAUAACAACUCUGUGUAUUUAAAAAUACAAUAGUAACUCUGAAUGUAUGCAAAAAUACAGUAUAAACUCUGAAUGUAUAUUAAAAUACAAUUUCCUCAAUGUAUAUAAAAAUACAAAAUACUGCUGUGGGAGUUUCUCUAACCGACAACCAUCACUUAAAAGCUAUGUGAUGAUACAACGUCUUACUUACGGUGCCAGAACUUUCCUAUACUUUGCCGUCAUAUAGAACGCCUUAACUAAGUGGAUCCACUAGUCUAUGCUAAAAAGCACUAAAGGAAUCAUCUAAAAAGUAUGACCCUUUGUACCCACGAUGGCUACAUGGUUUAUGGAGACGUGAGUUAUCUGAACUCAAACUCGUCCCCAUNNNNNNNNNNNNNNNNNNNNNNNNNNNNNNNNNNNNNNNNNNNNNNNNNNNNNNNNNNNNNNNNNNNNNNNNNNNNNNNNNNNNNNNNNNNNNNNNNNNNNNNNNNNNNNNNNNNNNNNNNNNNNNNNNNNNNNNNNNNNNNNNNNNNNNNNNNNNNNNNNNNNNNNNNNNNNNNNNNNNNNNNNNNNNNNNNNNNNNNNNNNNNNNNNNNNNNNNNNNNNNNNNNNNNNNNNCUCUUUAAAUGUGAAAACAUUUACUCUUUAACUAAAAACUAGUUCAAAGGCUUUUUUGGAAAUCAAGGUUUCCUUUCUUCUUUAAAUGUGAAAACAUUUACUCUUUAACUAAAAACUAGUUCAAAGGCUUUUUUGGAAAUCAAGGUUUCCUUUCUUCUUUAAAUGUGAAAACAUUUACUCUUUAACUAAAAACUAGUUCAAAGGCUUUUUUGGAAAUCAAGGUUUCCUUUCUUCUUUAAAUGUGAAAACAUUUACUCUUUAACUAAAAACUAGUUCAAAGGCUUUUUUGGAAAUCAAGGUUUCCUUUCUUCUUUAAAUGUGAAAACAUUUACUCUUUAACUAAAAACUAGUUCAAAGGCUUUUUUGGAAAUCAAGGUUUCCUUUCUUCUUUAAAUGUGAAAACAUUUACUCUUUAACUAAAAACUAGUUCAAAGGCUUUUUUGGAAAUCAAGGUUUCCUUUCUUCUUUAAAUGUGAAAACAUUUACUCUUUAACUAAAAACUAGUUCAAAGGCUUUUUUGGAAAUCAAGGUUUCCUUUCUUCUUUAAAUGUGAAAACAUUUUACUCUUAUCUUUUUAGGACGAAAUUACACUGAAUAAAACAUGUUUGGUGCAUGGUUGAAUGAACCUAAUGCUGUGUGAACUCACAUACCUCGUAGGGAUUAACCCUUGGCGAAAUCUACAAACAAUUCUCCAUGAAAUCGACGAAUCCUUGCUUCUUCUCCUCUUUUCUCCUCUUCUUUUCUCUUCUCUCAAAUCCCUAACUCUUUUUUGAAAGGGUAAACUGAUCUAAUUAUGUUUAGACCCCUAAGUAAUUACCAAAAAUGAAUUAAAUCAAUUGGGUAUGGAAAAGACCAAAAUACCCUUCUAAAAUCCGGUUUUGACUUUCCUUAUCUAGACAACCCAACUUCAAAUGGGCAUUUAUGCCUCAUACAAACUCGGAAUCGUGCAAACUUAGCGGCGUUGGAAAGAUAAUCCCAAGAUCUUUCCUACAGUAUCUGGAAGCACACUUAAAUAAUCCUGAUCUAGGAGUUAUGGUCAUUCGAAAUUGACCCAAAACUCAUUCUUAACUUAACUCUUGUCAAAUUUCCAGAUUUUUAUUAUUUCCAAAAAUCACUCUGUCUAAUUCUAGAUCUUUCUAGUUCUUUCAAUUAGCGAGAUGUUACAACCACACUUGAGCAAUAUCUUUCAAUUGGUAAGAGGCUAAUUUCGCUUUCUCUAUCGGAGUCACUCCCUUAAUAGCAAGUACCUUAUAGACAUCAUCUAUAAACUCUUGAGGAUCUUCCUCAACUUUGGAGCCAUAAAACUCCGGAGGAUUCAUCUUGAUAAAAUCCCUCAUUCUUGAAGCGGCCGUACCCAUAUUUGGGUUCACGGGGGCUACCACCUCUCUAUUGGCUUGCGCCGUCAUGGCUUGAGCCAACAGUUGAAAAGCCGACUUAAUCUCCACAUUUGUUAUAUUCUCCUCCAAAGGGUCACUCAGAGCUUGGGGAGAAACCUCUUGGUCCAGAUUGUCUUCCUCAUUCCUUCUAGCAUUUACCCUUGUGGUAGUCAUAUCCUAAAAACCAUAGGGCACAGAUUAGGAGAAAGACCUAAUAGAUUUAAAAUCUAUGGCAUGACUUAGAGAAUGAAGAAGUGAGAUUUCCUAAUCAUCUAAUAGCUUUCUAUUCAUAAAUUUGGCACACUUCACACUUAUGAACAAGACUUUACUAGAAAUGUUUUUGAGACAAUCCUAUAAUCCUUCUAAACCUUCUUCACUUAUUACCAAGUUUGUAACGACCCAGGGGUACCCCCUAGAUGAACAAGGCAUACUCAACCCCAAUGGGGUCUCAUACAAGCCCCUUAGCAUAUCAUAACAUAAAGCAAUAGAAAUGAUGCAGAAAUUUCAAAACAUUUUCCAUAAAAUCGAAGUCUUUAUAAAAGCAAGCGAAAGUCUUUAACACUUUGUCUCAAACCAUCUAAAAUAACUUGAAUAAAUCUUUGGGACGCAGUCCAUACAUAAGUUCUAACAUAAAAGAAAGACAAUAGAACAUGGUGGCCAUCUCCUAGAACUAGUGUAAAAGUAUCCCAUUUGGAAGCUGGACUCAACUAGGGUAGAAGCUUCCAUCUCACAUUCAAUAUCAUAUUCAUGCAUAAGUGUGUAUGUGAGAAUAUCCUUUCAACAACACAUAAGUAGAUCAUCAUAAUCAUAGACACUUCACUCUCAAAGUGUUCAUAAAGCAUUUACAUUGAUUCUAUAAGAACAUGCAUAAUCUCAUAUACUCAUAUUAUAAGUCAUGUGGGUAAAUUCCUUCCACAAUAAUGCCAUAUAUAAUUCAACAUACAUAUUAGCUUCACUCUCAAAGCCCUAGAAGUCAACUUUCAUAACUACAAGCCUUACUCUCAAGAAAUACUUCUCAUGAUCAUUCUAUAUGUCUAAUUCUCAAGACAUUCUAACCACAUGCUUCAUUCUUUAGUAAUUCUAAUCAUAUAUCUUCAUAUAAGCAUAAACUCAAGCAUUACUAAUCAUGAUUCAUCAUAUAAGCCGUAAUCUAAUCAAUUCAUAUCUAUAAGUUUUACUCUUAAGAAAUUCAUGUCUAGGUGUUCUAAUCUCAAGCAAUCUAUAAUGUAAUUCAUCAAUCUUAGAAGAUCACAGCUAAGCCCUCAAUUUCCCCUUUUAUGGCAUAAAACUCAACUAUAUCAAAUUCACCUUGGAAUCUUAGGUUAAUAAAAAAUACAUGUAUAAUCAUACUAAAAACAUGCAUUUCCAUCAUAAACAAUCAUAAACCACUCUAUUGGAUCAUAAUCAACAUAACCCACAAUAUUGGAAGGAACCCUAACUUGAAUUAGGGCUUUCAUCUUCACAAUUGGGGGAAUUCUAAGGGACUCCAUGGAUGAAUAAGCUACCAUUCCUUGAUUACAAAGCCCUCAAAUCUUGGAACAAUGGAGACUUGACUUGACCUAGCUUGGUCAUCUUCUUCUUCUUCUUCACUUUCUAGAGAGAGAAUAUUUGAGACGGAAUUGGGUUCUUUUUUAUGAGUUGAAAUAAUGACUAGGAUCAAUGAAUUUAUAGGUUUAUAGUCUUUAUAUAGGUGGUCUAAACUAGGGUAAAACGACACCACUUAAUUGCUAAUUAAUUCCCAAAAGUUCCAUUAAGUCCUCACUUAACCAUUUAAAACAAGUCACUGCCACACUCACGAGACCCUGACCACGGGGUGUGGGUCUAACCAUGGCCCAUCCUGGUUGGGCGUGGUUUGGGAUCUGUGGCACUGUCUUGGGGGCUCUUGACCUACGGAGCCAACCAUGUGGCGUGGACCCAUCCACGAGGCGUGGGUCCUGUCCGUGGUUACUGCCUUAGGCAUAUUUCAUGGAGGUCUCACGCAUGUUGCGCACCUAAAGGGUGUGGGUGGCCUCAUGGGUGGCACCUAAACUCCCAAAUAAUGUUAACUCCCACUCAAGGCUACGAGGUGUUACAUAUUUGGUUGAAGUGAUAUGUUCCUUUGUACUACCCUUAGACACAUUUCUCUUUCUUUUUCUAUCCUUCUUAGGUUCAAUAGUAUCAUCAAUAAUAACUAUAGGUUCGAAGGAGGAACAAACUUACUUUUCACUACACGUGAUUUCUUGGUGGUCUUAGUAAAAAGUACUUCAUCCAGAGUACGUUGCACCGACCGAGUAACUCGAACCGGAAUCGCCACUGAUGGUUCAAAAAUGGGAUCUUCUUGAGGCUUAUCAACAGAAGUAGCGAUGGGUUUACUAGAGGCUAGACGAAGUCGUGAAUGAAGUCAUUUAGGAAUCAAUUUUACCAACGGAGUAUCGUCUUCAUCAAUAUACGAGGUAUAAGUCUAUUUCUUUGAUGAUUUUUGUUCCCCUGAUAACAAGUAGUCGUAUUAUCACUGAAAUCAGACCCCAAUCUUUGGUUUCGUACUUCUCCCUGAAUUACUUGAUCCAUGAGAGGACAUGCAAAAUGUGAUCUUCCGAAAGGGUCAAUGAACAUUACAUCGGAUGAGACAAAUAGGUUUUCUUAAUUCUCGAAGGGUAUGAGGGCAAGGUUGAGGUUUUUGGACGGUGAGGACAUGAUUUGGGAAUGGAUUAUAGAAAUUAGGAAGGGAGAGUGAGAAUGGAGAAUGGAGGUUUUGUGAAGGAUGAAUAAAAGUGAGAUGUAACUGAUAAUGGGAAGUGGAAAGGUUUUUAGAGAAGAGAGAGAGAGAGAGAUUGAUUUGAUGGAUUUGAUGAGUUUUUGAUUGAAUUUUUGGCGGUUUAAAUCAUAUUUUCUGACAGAGUAAUUUAAUGAGGGAACGGGUAGAGUGCAUAAGUCACAUUAUUUUGUUCAUCUUUAGUACGUAUUGUGUACAUACCUUUAUUUGUAGAGAUGAUGGCCUUCGAAGUCCUAAUCCCUUGAUUUUCUAAUUACCUGAGAAUAGUAGUUCCUUUAGUUACAGUUCAUUAUGAAUUAUUAAGACUUAAAAUAGCAUGUAAUCGAAGACCAUAGUUUACUGAGUAAACAUAGAUACUUAGGCUAUUUUUAUCAUCCCUAAUUCCAACUUGUUCCUUUCAAAGUGUUCCCUUGCUAAUGCCUUGGUGAACAUAUCAGCAAUUUGUUCUUCUGUGGUACAAAAAUUCAUAGAUAUCAAUCCUUUGUCAACAUUAUUCCUUAGAAAGUGAUGUCUCAUAUCGAUGUGUUUGGUUCUCUUGUGCUGAACUGGAUAUUUUGAGAUGUUGAUGGCACUUGUGUUGUCACAAAAAAUUGGAACACAGUUUGUAGACCAAAGUCUUGUAACAGUUGUUUGAUCCAUAGUAGUUGUGCACAAGAUGAAGCAGUGGCUACAUAUUUAGCUUCGGCAGUAGACGGGGCAACCGAAUUUGUUUCUUUGAACCCCAAGAGAUUAAACAAGAUCCCAAAAAGUGAGUCAUACCUGUAGUGCAUUUUCUAUCUGCUAGAUAACCAGCGUAGUCCACAUCAACAUACCGUACCCUACAAGUUUGAAAUUACUUCCCCUUGGAUAUCAAAGUCCUAAGUCUGUGGUACCCUUUAGAUAUCAUAGAAUUCUUUUGACAACUUGUAGAUGUGAUUCCUUUGGAUUGGCUUGAAAUCGAGCGCAUAGCCCUACGCUAAACACAAUAUCGGGGCUUCUGGCUAUAAGGUACAUAAGUGAACCUAUCAUUCCUCUAUACAUUUUUUGUUCUACAGUUGGACCUGUUCCUUCUAGGUCUAACUUAGUGGCAGUGGCUAUUAGGGUAGUGAUCUGUUUAGCAUCUUCCAUUUUAAAUCUUUUGAGUAGUUCUUUAACGUACUUCUGCUAAUGGAUCAUUGUUCCCACAUGUGUUUUCUUGAUCCGCAGUCCCAAGAAGUAGUUCAGUUCUCCGAUCAUGCUCAUUUUAAAUUCAUUGCUCAUGAGAGUUGAGAAUUCAUCAGUGAGUGUUUUCGUUGUGGCUCCAAAAAUAAUGUUAUCAACAUAUACUUUUACAAUAAGCAAGUCUUUUCCUUUAUUUUUAAUGAAGAGUGUAUUGUCGAUUUUUCCUCUUGUGUAUCCAUGUUUUAAGAGAAACUUUGACAAUCUAUCAUAUCAUGCCCUUGGAGCUUGUUUCAACCCAUAAAGAGCUUUGUCAAGCUUAUAGACAUAGUCAGGAUGAUCAUUGUUCUCAAAUCCAGGAGGUUGUUUUACAAAUACUUCUUCUUUUAGUAGCCCAUUGAGAAAAACACUAUUUACAUCCAUUUGGUAUAAUGUAAAUUCCAUGUAGGCAGCAAAGUCAAUGAGUAAUCUGAUUGCUUCAAGCCUAGCUACUAGAGCAAAGGUUUCAUCAUAAUCUAUGUCUUCUUCUUGAUUGUACCCUUGAGAAACUAACCUUGCUUUAUUUCUUGUUAUGGUUCCAUGUUCGUCUAAUUUGUUCCUGAACACCCAUUUAGUUCCAAUGAUAGUUCUGUUCUCAGGCUUUGGCACAAGAUGUCAGACUCUACUUCUUUUGAAUUGGUUCAGUUCUUCCUCUAUCACUAUGAUCCAGUCUGCAUCUUGAAGGGCCUCGCUGAUUCUUUUAGGUUCGACCAUAGAGAAGAAUGCACUGAAGGCAUAAUGAUUUUUUAGUCCUGAUCUAGUGGUUAUUCUAGAAGAGAGGUCAGUGAGUAUGUUGUCCACGGGAUGUGAUCCUUGGUAUUUGUAGUCUUUUAGUACCAGAUCCUGUUGUUCUGCAUUUGGACUAUUAUUUAGUUUCCUUUGGUCAUCUUCUAGUGUUUCUUCUCUGUUUCCAUUAUGAUUAUCAUGUGAGUCUGCACUGUCUUCAUUAAUUGUAUCCAAAGGACCUGUUUCUUGUACCUGUUCCUGUACAACUUCGCUGUAUACCUUUGAUGGUACUUUAUUUUCCUGCAAGUUUUGGUUAGACAUAGUAUUGCUUUCAUCAAAUACAAUGUGCACACUCUCUUCCACACACAUUGUUCGUAUGUUGAGUACCCUACAGGCUUUACUAUGCGUGGAGUACCCUAGAACGAUUCCUUCAUCACUUCUCGCAUCAAAUUUACCCAACAAAUUUUUUCCAUUGUUGUGGAUGAAACACUUAACCCAAAUACUCUUAGAUGAAAGAUAUUGGGUUUUCUUCCUUUUAGUAAUUCAUAGGGAGUUUUAUCUAACAUUGGUCUGGACAUACAUAUAUUGAUGAUAUAGCAGGCAGUAUUUAUAGCUUCAGCCCAAAAUUGAUUGGUGAUUUUAUUUGCAAUCAUCAUAGUUCUAGCCAUUUCUUGUAAGGUUCUAUUUUUUCUUUCAACAACACCAUUUUGUUGAGGGGUUCUAAGAGUAAAGAAAUUACGGUCAACUCCAUAGAGAUCACAAUAUUAAGCAAAUUUUGAGUAUCCAAAUUUGGUUCCAUGAUCAGAUCUGAUAUACAUUAAUUGUUUAUCAAAUUUCUUUUGAAGUUUUCUUAUUAGUGAGUAGAAUGCUUCACAUGCAUCAUCUUUCGAUGUUAGGAAGAGUGUCCAGGUAAACCUAGUAUAGUCAUCAACUAAUACAAAUAUAUACCUUUUCCCUCCCCUGCUUUUGACUCUCAUGGGUCCACAUAGAUCCAUGUGUAUUAGUUCCAAGGACCUGGUUGAGCUUAUCACCUGCUUUGAGUUAAAGGAUGAUUUUAUUUGUUUCCGUAGAGUGCAGGCCUCACACAUCUUUUCUUCUUUGAACUUAGUUUUAGGAAGACCUAUUACUAAGUCCUUAGAGAUGAGUUUAUUGAGUUGUACCUGGCUUGCAUGACCUAGUCGGUUAUGCCAAAGUAGAAGAUCUUUAUCCAACACACUUAGACAUACUAGAUUCUCAUCAGAUAUUUUUAGAAGUGUCUACAGUGUAAACAUGUUUGUACUUUUUUCCCGUUAGGACAACUUUCUUUGUUUCUAGAUUGAUUACUUCAACACCAGUAGAUAGAAAAAUUACCUUGUUUCCUUUGUCACACAGUUGGGAUAUACUUAGCAUAAUGUGUUUCAGUCCUUCCACAUGGUACACCUCGUCAAUUGAUUGUUCAUCAGAUCUUCCUAUCUUGCCAACACCUUUGAUUUGCCCUUUUUUCCGCUACCAAAAGCUACCAUUCCACCUUUUCCUUCUUUGAGUGAGAGAAACUUUGUUUUAUCUCCAGUCAUGUGUCUUGAGCAAGCGCUAUCCAUAUACCAGUGUUGCUUGCUUUCUCUCACUUCUACCUAAAAAAUAUUAAAGGUUAGUUUUAGGAACCCAUAUCAACUUGGGUCCUUUAUUUUUAUCAAAAGGGUGAAUAAGAUCUCUGUUUAUUCAGUUGGGAAGACCUGUUUUGUUUAGAAGGUGCCUAUUUCUUAGGUGUGUAUAAAUUCUAGUUCUUUGGCAAUUAAAUUUGGAAUGACCAAUCUUACCACAGAGACUACAAAAUUAAGUAAUGUCACUUUUGGUUUGUUCAAAAUCUAUUUCAGGUCUUAUAUUUCGGGUGUUGUUUCCAAGAUGUGUGACUAUCAUGGAUGACCUUGUCCAUGCAAUCUUUCAAGAUCAUAUUUAGUCCUGGAUAAUUCAAGAUUCAUCCUCCUAGAGUUUUCUCUUUCUAAGCUUAAGUCAUUUUUGAGUUUAUUCACCUCAUGUUCAUACUUGGGUUGAUCACAUGCUUUUUCUUUACCAAUAACCUUUAAUUUUAUAUUUUCAGUUUUUAAUGCUAGAUUGAAGGAUUCAAGUUUCUUAUUUUUCAUUAACCACAGCUUGGUUUUCUCUUAUAGUUCAGUGUUGAGUUUUUCGAGAUUGAUAUACUCAAACUUUAAACUAGUCAUGGAGGCAAGCAACUGAUUCUUGUUUCUGAUUUGUUCUUGUAUUGUGUCCAUAAGUGUUCGCAUUAACAAUGAUAAUUUUUUCUUAGAGAAGGAUUCUAAUUUGUCUUUGAGAUCAGAUAUGUUUUCCUUUUUUUCUUCAGAGUCUGAAUCAGGUUCACAAUCUGACUCUUCCAUGGCCAUUAAGGCAAUGUCAUCAUCAUCUUCUUCAUAGUCAUUUGAACUUGUUCCCCAGGAAGCGUACAUAGCUUGUUCCUUUUCUUUGGUCUUUCUCUUGUUUGCAGGUUCCCUUUUAUCCUUUUCAUCUCUUUCUUUUCUCCAUUCUACUUUCCGCAUAGGACAGUCCUUGAUUUGAUUAUUAGUUUUACCACCCUUGUAACAUCCACCAGUUUGAGCUUUUUCCGUGUUUUUCUCCUUGUUUGGUGGUGCCUUUUUUCCAGAAUUCAUUCCCCUUUUGAAAAAUCUCUUAAAGUUUCUAGUGAUUAGUGCUAGCUCAUCAUCAUCUAAAUCUAAUUCAUCACUUUCAGUUGCUUUGAGACCGAGAUUCUUCUCCUUGUUUCCUUCACUUCCCUUACAACGUGCAUCUCAUAAGUUUUGAGAUUUCCUACCAGUUCAUCUAGAGUCAUGCUUGUUAGAUCCUUGACUUCUCUAAUAGCAGUGACUUUGAUUUCCCAUGAUCUAGGUAGAGUUCUUAGUACUUUAUCUACCUGUUCCUCAGUAGUGUAUAUCUUUCCUAAGGAAAUUAACUCAUUCACUACUGUGGUGAAUCUGGUGAUUAUAUCUUGAAGUGAUUCUCCAUUCUUCAUCUUAAAUGCUUCAUAUUCAGAGCAAAGUCGGGCAAUUCUGAAUUUUCUGACUUGAGUUGUACCUUCAUGAGCAUUUAAGAGAGUGUCCCAAAUUUGUUUUGCAAAAGUAUAACUUGAGAUGCGAUUAAAUUCAUAAAGACCAAGUCCACAUACAAGAAUGCGCUUAGCUUUUGCAUUUUUUCCUAACAUCUUGUAGUCAGCGUUUCCGUAUUGUUCCUUAGGUUUUGGAACAUUGUUCCUUCACUGUCUUUGAUGGUUGGAGUUAGAGGUCCAUCAGUAAUUCUUACCCAUAGUUCAUAAUCCUCAGCUUGAAUGAAGUCCUCCAUUCAAGCUUUCCACCAUGAGUAGUAUUGACUAUUGAAGAGUGGUGGUAUGUUGAUGUUUUGACCUUGACCAUGCCCAAUAGGAGGUGCAGAAUUCAUUGUGAUAUUAUCUUGAGUUAUUAGACUCUUGUUAAGAUACUUUCGUUCUGAUACCAAUUGUUGGAAUUAUGGCCUCCUUAAUUCAGUAAAGGAACACGUUGGCCCACCUAUUAGGGGGUAGUACUACACACCAUUGUAUUACACGUGUUAAGAAAAUAUACUACUCAAAAUGAUUAGUUUUGCACCCAUUCAGUCAUGAAUUAGAUUUUUCUUUUUAGCAAUUGAAAUAAGAAAUUGUCUUCUAAUUAAAUUUGUAAAUAUGCAGUGCUAGUAGCUAGACAGAAGCUCAGAACGACAAUUUAAAAAUACCCACACAAGCUCAGUGUGAUAAUAAAAAAUGUCCAAGAAUCAAACCCAACGGAACUGAAUUAGAAAAAUAAAAAAAUCCAAUAAUCGAAUACCUAAUGUAGCAGUAGCACGUUUUUUGUUGCUUGCUGGUAUUAUAAGAUGCAGAAGCAAACACACCACUACUCCACCAACUAAGAUGGAUCCAUUACCUCAUGUUAUCAUCUUCCCUUUCCCUGCACAAGGCCAUGUCAACUCCAUGCUUAAAUUGGCUCAGCUUCUUUCUCUUUCUAACUUCGACGUUACCUUUCUUGUCACUGUCGAUACACAUGACCGCGUCGUCAACCACAUAGAUGUGCUCUCCAGAUUUGGUAGUGUAUUCCAUUUGCAAGCUCUUCCCCAUGGAAUUUCCAUGGAUGGAGUGAAUACUCGUGAUGGAAUAUCAAUGCUCUAUUAUUCUCUAAACACAAUUGCUAAACCAUUUCUUAGAGAAUUCAUACCGAAUUCUUCGGUGACAUGUCUCAUCGUCGACGGAAUCUUAAGCAUGGCCGCUGAUGUAGCCGAAGAAAUCAACUUGCCUAUUAUCUAUUUUCGUACCGUCAGUGCCUCUUCUUUCUGGUCCUACUUUUGCAUCCCUGAGCUAAUUCAAGCUGGAGAACUUCCCCUCAAAGGUAAACAUACAAUACAAUAUUUUUUUGUUUUACAACUUCUUAAUUCUAACUUUUCACCUGACAUAUUUAAACACAUAACAUUAAAAGAAAUUUUGCCUCUCAAGUAAUGUUAGAUUACAUGAAUAACAGAAAAUGCAAAGGACUUGACAUUGACGAAGGUAAAAGGCAUGGAAGAUUUUCUGAGAGGUCGAGACCUUCCAAGCUUUUGUCAGGCGAGUGACUUAACUAACCCGGAUUUCAGGAUUGUAAUGACAGAGACACGACAAACCCCUCGAGCGCAAGGUCUCAUACUUAACACGUUUGAAGAUCUUGAAAGGCCCCAUACUUUCUCAAAUUCGAACGGUAUGUCCAAAUGUUUAUACAAUUGGAGCAGUUCAUGCCCAUCUAAAGGCUAAACUUGCAACAAAAUCUACCUCUUCAAACAAUUUGUGGCAAGAAGAUGAAAGAUGCAUGUCUUGGCUUGACACGCAGCCACCAAAAUCUAUGAUAUAUGUUAGUUUUGGAAGCGUCGCGGGGUUGACAAAGGAGGAGUUGUUAGAAUUUUGGUAUGGUCUAGUGAAUAGUGAGCAAAAGUUCUUGUGGGUGAUGAGGCCAGACUUGAUAAUAGGACAAGAGAGAAAGGAUGAGAUUUCUGUGGAGUUGGAGCAGGGUACAAAGGCAAGGGGCUACAUGGCUGAUUGGGUUCCACAAGAAAAGGUAUUGG
rnacentral:lncRNA from 1 species